GGGCGAUUAGCUCAGUCGGUCAGAGCGCACGGUUCACAUCCGUGAGGUCACUGGUUCGAGCCCAGUAUCGCCCACCA
rnacentral:tRNA from 1 species